UACGAAGGGGGCUAGCGUUGCUCGGAAUUACUGGGCGUAAAGCGCACGUAGGCGGCUUUCUAAGUCGGGGGUGAAAUCCUGGAGCUCAACUCCAGAACUGCCUUCGAUACUGGAGAGCUCGAGUCCGGGAGAGGUGAGUGGAACUGCGAGUGUAGAGGUGAAAUUCGUAGAUAUUGGGAAGAACACCAGUGGCGAAGGCGGCCCACUGGAUCGGUACUGACGCUGAGGUGCGAAAGCGUGGGGAGCAAACAGG
rnacentral:rRNA from 1 species